ACCUACUUGCAGUUAAAUAGAGUAAAGAUCCAAUCAUACCUUGAUAUAGCUUGGGAUCUACUAAUUUUCCUCUUGGAUCUUAAUCAAGCUUGCAACUCAUGCUCAUAGGGGUGCCACUUCCUCUGACAUUCUCCAUCCUAAAUUUUUUUAAUAUUUUAUUGAUGUAUUUGCUUUAGUUGAUGAAGAUCUCUUCAUUUGAUUGCUUGAUC
rnacentral:lncRNA from 1 species